rnacentral:rRNA from 1 species
AUUGAACGCUGGCGGCAUGCCUUACACAUGCAAGUCGAACGGUAGCGGGCCUUCGGGUGCCGACGAGUGGCGAACGGGUGAGUAAUGUAUCGGAACGUACCAUUGAGUGGGGGAUAACGUAGCGAAAGUUACGCUAAUACCGCAUAUUCUCUCCGGAGGAAAGCAGGGGACCGCAAGGCCUUGCGCUCUUUGAGCGGCCGAUAUCAGAUUAGCUAGUUGGUGAGGUAAAGGCUCACCAAGGCGACGAUCUGUAGCGGGUCUGAGAGGAUGAUCCGCCACACUGGAACUGAGACACGGUCCAGACUCCUACGGGAGGCAGCAGUGGGGAAUUUUGGACAAUGGGGGCAACCCUGAUCCAGCCAUGCCGCGUGAGUGAAGAAGGCCUC